GAUUAACGCUGGCGGCGUGCCUAACACAUGCAAGUCGAGCGGCAGCGAGUUUUACACUGAAUUCUGGAAGCUUCUAGUUGAAAGAGAAGAUUUAUUCAAGAAUUUUGUGUAAAAUGUCGGCGAGCGGCGGACGGCUGAGUAACGCGUGGGAACGUACCCCAAAGUGAGGGAUAACGCAUCGAAAGGUGUGCUAAUACCGCAUAUGGUCUUCGGAUUAAAGCCUUCGGGCGCUUUGGGAACGGCCUGCGUAAGAUUAGAUAGUUGGUGGGGUAAUGGCCUACCAAGUCGACGAUCUUUAACUGGUUUGAGAGGAUGAUCAGUCAGACUGGAACUGAGACACGGUCCAGACUCCUACGGGAGGCAGCAGUGAGGAAUCUUCCACAAUGGGCGAAAGCCUGAUGGAGCAACGCCGCGUGCAGGAUGAAGGCCUUCGGGUUGUAAACUGCUUUUAUAAGUGGGGAUUAUGACAGUAACUUAUGAAUAAGGAUCGGCUAACUACGUG
rnacentral:rRNA from 1 species